GGAUGUGAGGGCGAUCUGGCUGCGACAUCUGUCACCCCAUUGAUCGCCAGGGUUGAUUCGGCUGAUCUGGCUGGCUAGGCAGGUGUCCCCCUCCUCCCUCACCGAUCCAUGUGCGUCCCUCUUGAAGCGACGACCUUCCCACCGAGGAGAGGACCGGUCUUCGAUCAAGGGUAUACGAGUAGCUGCGCUCCCCUGCUAGAACCUCCAAACAAGCUCUCAAAGUAAACAUCAUUACAUAAAAGGGUACGGUCUUUUUUUUUUUAGUUUUAUUCAUUUCAAUGAAUGGCGCUCUGACCUGCAGCUCCCAUUUUUU
rnacentral:snRNA from 1 species